CGCUGGUGGCCUAGCAGUAAGAGCGUGUGACUUUCAAUCCGGAGGUCGCGGGUUCAAAUCCUGGCUCGUACCAAUGAGUUUUUCGGAAUUUAUGUACGAAAUAUCAUUUGAUAUUUACCAGUUGCUUUUCGGUGAAGGAAAACAUCGUGAGGAAACCGGACUAAUCCUAAUUAAGGCCUAGUUUCCCCUCUGGGUUGGAAGGUCAGAUGGCAAUGGCAGUCGCUUUCGUAAAAACUAGUGCCUACGUCAAAUCAUGGGAUUAGUUGUCAAAGCGGACCCCAGGCUCCCAUGAGCCGUGGCAAAAUGCCGGGAUAACGCGAGGAAGAA